rnacentral:rRNA from 1 species
AUUGAACGCUGGCGGCGUGCCUAACACCUGCAAGUCGAACGAGUGGCGGACGGGUGAGUAAUGUCUGUGAAACUGCCUGAUGGAGGGGGAUAACUACGGGAAAAGGUAGCUAAUACCGCUUACCAUCCUAUGUGCCCAGAGUGGCUUAGCGUGUUGGGUGGGUAACGGCGCACCAAGGCGACGAUCCCUAGCUGGUCUGAGAGGAUGACCAGACACACUGGAACUGAGACACGGUCCAGAAUCGUACGGGAGGCAGCAGUGGGGAAUAUUGGACAAUGGGCGAAAGCCUGAUGGAGCCAUGCAGCGUGAAUGAAGAAGGCCUUCGGGUUGUAAAGUACUUUCAGCGGGGAAGCGUUACCCGAAGAAGAAGCACCGGCUAACUCCGUGCCAGCAGCCGCGGGAAUAC